rnacentral:rRNA from 1 species
GACGAACGCUGGCGGCGUGCUUAACACAUGCAAGUCGAACGAUGAAGCCGGAGCUUGCUCCGGUGGAUUAGUGGCGAACGGGUGAGUAACACGUGAGCAAUCUGCCCUUGACUCUGGAAUAACUGCGGGAAACUGUAGCUAAUACCGGAUACGACACCUUGGGGCAUCCCAGGGUGUGGAAAGAAUUUCGGUCAAGGAUGAGCUCGCGGCCUAUCAGAUAGUUGGUGAGGUAAUGGCACACCAAGGCGACGACGGGUAGCCGGCCUGAGAGGGUGACCGGCCACACUGGAACUGAGACACGGUCCAGACUCCUACGGGAGGCAGCAGUGGGGAAUAUUGCACAAUGGGCGAAAGCCUGAUGCAGCAACGCCGCGUGAGGGAUGAAGGCCUUCGGGUUGUAAACCUCUUUUAGCAGGGAAGAAGCGAAAGUGACGGUACCUGCAGAAAAAGCACCGGCUAACUACGUGCCAGCCGCCGCUGUAA